rnacentral:lncRNA from 1 species
UUAAAGUUUGUUGGCUGGCUUCGGAUGCGGCCAACCCAUCCCUUGUGGCCCUUAGUUCAUCAUCAGACGUCUUCAAGUCCAUCUUAGCUCGAUCCAAGUCUCGUUGGAGGCCAUCGAUGACAUGAAGAGCGUCUUCUCGAUCGGCCCUUUCUCGAGCCAAGGUCGAUCUCAGCAUGUUGAUCUCCUGUCUCAUGAAAUCUUCCC